CCUCAGAUCAGGUAGGACUACCCGCUGAACUUAAGCAUAUCAAUAAGCGGAGGAAAAGAAACUAACAAGGAUUCCCCUAGUAACUGCGAGUGAAGCGGGAAAAGCUCAAAUUUAAAAUCUGACAGCCUUUGGCUGUCCGAGUUGUAAUCUAGAGAAGUGUUAUCUGUAUUGGACCAUGUACAAGUCUCCUGGAAUGGAGCAUCAUAGAGGGUGAGAAUCCCGUCUUUGACAUGGACUACCAGUGCUUUGUGAUGCGCUCUCAAAGAGUCGAGUUGUUUGGGAAUGCAGCUCAAAAUGGGUGGUAAAUUCCAUCUAAAGCUAAAUAUUGGCGAGAGACCGAUAGUGAACAAGUACCGUGAGGGAAAGAUGAAAAGAACUUUGGAAAGAGAGUUAAACAGUAUGUGAAAUUGCUGAAAGGGAAACGCUUGAAGUCAGUCACAUUGGCCAGAAAUCAACCUUGCUUGUGCUAGGCGUACUUUCUGGUUAAUGGGUCAGCAUCAAUUUUGACUGUUGGAAAAAGGUCAAGGGAAUGUGGCAUCUUCUGAUGUGUUAUACCCUUGGUUGCAUACAAUGGUUGGGAUUGAGG
rnacentral:rRNA from 1 species